UGGGGAAUCUUGCACAAUGGGGGCAACCCUGAUGCAGCGACGCCGCGUGAGCGAUGAAGCCCUUCGGGGCGUAAAGCUCUUUCGACCGGAACGAUAAUGACGGUACCGGGAGAAGAAGCUGCGGCUAACUUCGUGCCAGCAGCCGCGGUAAUACGAAGGGGGCUAGCGUUGCUCGGAAUUACUGGGCGUAAAGGGCGCGUAGGCGGCUUGGCCAGUCAGGCGUGAAAUUCCUGGGCUUAACCUGGGGACUGCGCUUGAUACUGCCAGGCUCGAGGCCGAGAGAGGGUGGUGGAAUUCCCAGUGUAGAGGUGAAAUUCGUAGAUAUUGGGAAGAACACCGGUGGCGAAGGCGACCACCUGGCUCGGUACUGACGCUGAGGCGCGACAGCGUGGGGAGCAAACA
rnacentral:rRNA from 1 species